AACGGUCUUUUAGGAGACAGUGGCGGACGGGUGAGUAACGCGUAAGAAUCUACCUUCAGGUUGGGGACAACCACUGGAAACGGUGGCUAAUACCGAAUGUGCCGAGAGGUGAAAGGCUUGCUGCCUGAAGAAGAGCUUGCGUCUGAUUAGCUAGUUGGUAGUGUAAGAGACUACCAAGGCGACGAUCAGUAGCUGGUCUGAGAGGAUGAUCAGCCACACUGGGACUGAGACACGGCCCAGACUCCUACGGGAGGCAGCAGUGGGGAAUUUUCCGCAAUGGGCGAAAGCCUGACGGAGCAAUACCGCGUGAGGGAGGAAGGCUCUUGGGUUGUAAACCUCUUUUCUCAGGGAAGAACAGAAUGACGGUACCUGAGGAAUAAGCAUCGGCUAACUCCGUGCCAGCAGCCGCGGUAAUACGGAGGAUGCAAGCGUUAUCCGGAAUGAUUGGGCGUAAAGGGUCCGCAGGUGGCAUUGUAAGUCUGCUGUUAAAGAGUUUGGCUCAACCAAAUAAGAGCAGUGGAAACUACAAAGCUAGAGUGUGGUCGGGGCAGAGGGAAUUCCUGGUGUAGCGGUGAAAUGCGUAGAUAUCAGGAAGAACACCAGUGGCGAAGGCGCUCUGCUAGGCCGAGACUGACACUGAGGGACGAAAGCUAGGGGAGCGAAUGGGAUUAGAUACCCCAGUAGUCCUAGCCGUAAACGAUGGAUACUAGGCGUAGCUCGUAUCGACCCGAGCUGUGCCGGAGCUAACGCGUUAAGUAUC
rnacentral:rRNA from 1 species